rnacentral:rRNA from 1 species
UACGUAGGGUGCGAGCGUGUCCGGAAUUAUUGGGCGUAAAGAGCUCGUAGGCGGUGUGUCACGUCGGCCGUGAAAGCCCGGGGCUCAACUCCGGAAUUGGCCUUUAAAACUGCAUCGCUAGAAUUGUGGAGAGGUAAGUGGAAUUCCGAGUGUAGAGGUGAAAUUCGUAGAUAUUGGGAAGAACACCGGUGGCGAAGGCGGCUCACUGGCUCAUUACUGACGCUCAGGCGCGAUAGCGUGGGGAUCAAACAGG